UACGUAGGGUGCGAGCGUUGUCCGGAAUUAUUGGGCGUAAAGAGCUCGUAGGCGGUGUGUCACGUCGGCCGUGAAAACCUGCAGCUUAACUGUGGCGUGCGGUCGAUACGGGCAUCACUGGAGUUCGGCAGGGGAGACUGGAAUUCCUGGUGUAGCGGUGAAAUGCGCAGAUAUCAGGAAGAACACCCGUGGCGAAGGCGGCUCUCUGGGACGGUACUGACGCUGAGACGCGAAAGCGUGGGGAGCGAACAGG
rnacentral:rRNA from 1 species